AGUCAUUGGGAUUUAUAUUAAUUAAACCCAAAGGCAUAAUUAACUUAAAUGUAAUAUAAAAAAUAUGGGAUAAAUUUUUAAUCUAUUUAUAGAUUAUUAAUUCGAUCCCGGGGCGUUCUAUAUAGUUAUGUAUAAUAAUAUUUAUAUUAUUUAUACCUCUAACUGGAGCGUACCUUGAGCAUUUAUGCUGUGACCCGAAAGAUGGUGAUCUAUACUUGAUCAGGUUGAAGUCAGGGGAAACCCUGAUGGAAGACCGAAACAGUUCUGACGUGCAAAUCGAUUGUCAGAAUUGAGUAUAGCUGCGUAAGACUCAUCGAACCAUCUAGUAGCUGGUUCCCUCCGAAGUUUCUCUCAGGAUAGCUGGUGCAUUUUAAUAUUAUAUAAAAUAAUCCUAUCUGGUAAAGCGAAUGAUUAGAGGCCUUAGGGUCGAAACGACCUUAACCUAUUCUCAAACUUUAAAUGGGUAAGAACCUCACCUUUCUUGAUAUGAAGGUGAAGGUUAUGAUAUAAUGUGCCCAGUGGGCCACUUUUGGUAAGCAGAACUGGCGCUGUGGGAUGAACCAAACGUUAUGUUACGGUGCCCAAAUUAACAACUCAUGCAGAUACCAUGAAAGGCGUUAGUUGCUAAAAACAGCAUGACGGUGGACAUGGAAGUCGUAAUCCGCUAAGGAGUGUGUAACAACUCACAUGCCGAAGCAACUAGCCCUUAAAAUGGAUGGCGCUUAAGUUGUAUACCUAUACAUUACCGCUAAAGUAAAUGAUUUAUAUUCAAUUUCGGUUGAAUUUUAAAUUUUGAAACUUUAGUGAGUAGGAGGGUACAAUGGUGUGCUUAGAAGUGUUUGGCGUAAGCCUGCAUGGAGCCGCCAUUGGUACAGAUCUUGGUGGUAGUAGCAAAUAAUCGAAUGAGACCUUGGAGGACUGAAGUGGAGAAGGGUUUCGUGUGAACAGUGGUUGAUCACGAGUUAGUCGGUCCUAAGUUUAAGGCGAAAGCCGAAAAUUUUCAAGUUAUAAUGAAAAUUUAUAUAUAAUAUUAUAUAUAUUUAGGAUUUAAACACUUGAUUAUUUUUGAACGAAAGGGAAUACGGUUCCAAUUCCGUAACCUGUUGAGUAUCCGUUUGUUAUUAAAAAUGGGCCUUGUGCUCAUCCUGGUAACAGAAACGACCAUAAAGAAGCCGUCGAGAGAUAUCGGAAGAGUUUUCUUUUCUGUUUUAUAGUCGUACUACCAUGGAAGUCUUUCGAAGAGAGAUAUGGUAGAUGGACUAGAAGAGCAUGACAUUUACUGUUGUGUCGAUAUUUUCUCCUCGGACCUUGAAAAUUUAUGGUGGGGUCACGCAAACUUCUCAACAGGCCGUACCGAUAUCCGCAGCUGGUCUCCAAGGUGAAGAGUCUCUAGUCGAUAGAAUAAUGUAGGUAAGGGAAGUCGGCAAAUUAGAUCCGUAACUUCGGGAUAAGGAUUGGCUCUGAAGAUUGAGAUAGUCGGGCUUGAUUGGGAAGCAAUAACAUGGUUUAUGUACUCGUUCUGGAUAAAUAAAGAUUUUCGGAUCUUGUUCCCCGGAUAGUAGUUACGUAACCAAUUGUGGAACUUUCUUGCUAAAAUUUUUAAGGAAUUAUCGCAAGAUAUAUUCUUUUUAAAUUAUAACGAUUAUCAAUUAACAAUCAAUUCAGAACUGGCACGGACUUGGGGAAUCCGACUGUCUAAUUAAAACAAAGCAUUGUGAUGGCCCCAGCGGGUGUUGACACAAUGUGAUUUCUGCCCAGUGCUCUGAAUGUCAACGUGAAGAAAUUCAAGUAAGCGCGGGUCAACGGCGGGAGUAACUAUGACUCUCUUAAGGUAGCCAAAUGCCUCGUCAUCUAAUUAGUGACGCGCAUGAAUGGAUUAACGAGAUUCCUACUGUCCCUAUCUACUAUCUAGCGAAACCACAGCCAAGGGAACGGGCUUGGAAUAAUUAGCGGGGAAAGAAGACCCUUUUGAGCUUGACUCUAGUCUGGCAGUGUAAGGAGACAUAAGAGGUGUAGCAUAAGUGGGAGAUUUUUGAAUUUAUAUUCAUUUAUCGCCAAUGAAAUACCACUACUCUUAUUGUUUCCUUACUUACUUGAUUAAAUGGAACGUGUAUCAUUUUCUAGCCAUUAUACGGAUAUAUUUAUAUAUCUUAUGGUAUUAGAUCUUGAUGCAAGCUUCUUGAUCAAAAUAUCAAGAGUUUGUUAUAUAAUUGUAAACAUAUUUUAAUAAAAUGAUUUCAUCUUUUAGAUGUUAUUAUUAUAAUUGAAAUUUGGUAUAACUCUAACACUCAGGUAUGAUCCAAUUCAAGGACAUUGCCAGGUGGGGAGUUUGACUGGGGCGGUACAUCUCUCAAAUAAUAACGGAGGUGUCCCAAGGCCAGCUCAGUGCGGACAGAAACCACACAUAGAGCAAAAGGGCAAAUGCUGACUUGAUCUCGGUGUUCAGUACACACAGAGACAGCUAAAGCUCGGCCUAUCGAUCCUUUUGGUUUAAAGAGUUUUUAACAAGAGGUGUCAGAAAAGUUACCAUAGGGAUAACUGGCUUGUGGCGGCCAAGCGUUCAUAGCGACGUCGCUUUUUGAUCCUUCGAUGUCGGCUCUUCCUAUCAUUGUGAAGCAAAAUUCACCAAGCGUUGGAUUGUUCACCCAUGCAAGGGAACGUGAGCUGGGUUUAGACCGUCGUGAGACAGGUUAGUUUUAUCCUCCUAAUGACAAUAUUGUUGUUGCGACAGCAUUCCUGCGUAGUACGAGAGGAACCGCAGGUACGGACCAAUGGCACAAUACUUGUUCGAGCGAACAGUGGUAUGACGCUACGUCCGUUGGAUUAUGCCUGAACGCCUCUAAGGUCGUAUCCGUGCUGGACUGCAAUGAUAAAAAUGGGGCAAUUGCAUUGUAUGGCUUCUAAACCAUUUAAAGUUUAUAUUAAUUUAUAAACGGCAAUGGAUGUGAUGCCAAUGUUAUUGGUAACAUAGCAAAUUCGGGAGGAUUAAAUAUCACCUGAAUGCCGCGCUAGUUACUUAUUAAAACAUUAUUUAAUACAAUGACAAUGCCUAGAAUCAAUUGUAAACGACUUUUGUAACGGGCA
rnacentral:rRNA from 1 species